rnacentral:rRNA from 1 species
CGGAGGGUGCAAGCGUUAUCCGGAUUCACUGGGUUUAAAGGGUGGCGUAGGCGGGCAGGUAAGUCCGUGGUGAAAUCUCUGAGCUUAACUCAGAAACUGCCAUGGAUACUACUUGUCUUGAAUAUUGUGGAGGUAAGCGGAAUAUGUCAUGUAGCGGUGAAAUGCUUAGAUAUGACAUAGAACACCAAUUGCGAAGGCAGCUUACUACACAGUUAUUGACGCUGAGGCACGAAAGCGUGGGGAUCAAACAGGAUUAGAUACCCUGGUAGUCCACGCCCUAAACGAUGAUUACUCGACAUCAGCGAUACACUGUUGGUGUCUGAGCGAAAGCAUUAAGUAAUCCACCUGGGAAGUACGAUCGCAAGAUUG